GGUGGACCUAUCGUUAAUCGUUCCAUUGCCUCCUCAACUUUGUCCGCUGUUGCUUCUUCCAGGUAGAGGCUUGGAGGCGGGAGAUAGGGUUAGGCAAGCACCCUGUUGAAGAGGUUCCUGAUGCAGCUGUCGUUGGCAUUAUUCAGAUGCACCCGGGUGGUUCUUCGUUCACCUUUGCUCCUUUUAUUAAUUCUUACGCUAGGCGGUUCCUUAUCCUUUAUUGGCGUCGCUUUCUGGGGCAAGUUCCUCUAAUCCUGGCCUUUACAUGGACUCUUCUGACGAUGAAUCUCCUGCUGGGUUGCCGUGUCCACCUGCUGAUUCGCUCUGUGGUGAGGGUGGUCUGCCUGCCUCACGCCGCUGGACUCCCUCUUCCACCCAUUCAUUCUGACGGUUUCGAACUUUCAAUCUAUUCCUGGCCUUUACAUGGACUCUUCUGACAAUGAAUCUCCUGCUGGGUUGCCGUGUCCACCUGCUGAUACCCUCUGUGGUGAGGGUGGUCUGCCUGCCUCACGCCGCUGGACUCCCUCUUCCACCCAUUCAUUCUGACGGUUUCGAACUUUCAAUCAUAUUGGUACACCUGCUCCUCCGCUGUCUUCUGCUGGUCAUCCUAUCUAUGGUUGUGAUUUUGGGGCUGAAUCGUUUCUGGCUCUGCCUUCUGAUAACAUGCCAACUGCGCCGGUAUUGUCUUUAGGUAUAGGAUCUCGCAGUUUGCUUCCAGGUACGGAUUGUUCAUUUGUUUUGCUUUUUGCCUAUUCUUGCGAACCUCACUAUGCAGAGUUCAACGCCUCCAGUAUCUAUUCCACCGGUGAGGCCUGCAGCCUCUUCUCUCUUCCUCACUGUCUCUCAAUCAGUUCUUUUUGGUUUUCCUACGAAUCUAGGUUUAUCUUUUUCCUUGGAUUUACCAUUAUAUUUCUUCUUUGGUUUGGUUUCACUCCCUUGCUUACUGUCUGAUCCUUGCUGUUUAUUAUAUUCCUGAUUGUUUACACUUAUUUGCUUACUUAGAUCUGUCCAAUACCCUGCACUUUACUGUACAUUUAUCAUGGCUACUGAUUUUCCAGAUUUCUAUAUGUUUAUCAUGGGUGUCGAUGUUUACUAAUCAUCCUAUGUUGCAGGAAAUUUGCAGUAGUAGCAAUGCAAGCAAUCUCGGUCAGAGAUAUCAAACCUCGAGGAUCUCCGAGGCGUUCUGUUGUGCGCAUCACACGGAUGUGGGACAAUAUGAACAAUUAGCAUGAACGCUAUGAGAUAGGCUUCAUGUUCGUUGAUCAUAUGGGAUAGAAGUUUCUCUACUCUCAGACCGGAUAGACCAAUUUAAAGACGAACUAAAGGAAGGCAUACUUUACAAGCUGUAGUCGUUUAUGAUCAUUGGCCCCCGGAAGAAUUAUAGAGCAGGAGAUCACUAUUAUAGGAUUCGGAUUUCACGGAACACAAAAGUACAAGCUGAAGGUUAGCGUAACACAUGUGGAACCAAACGCUGACAAUGUGCCCGUCACUGGCCACUUGACGUUCCUCAGCGAGAGCAGCGAGGCUCUCGCAGGAAAAGAGGCAGAUCUUCUUGCUCCACUCACUAAAUGCCGUCCUAAUUAUGUCCCCGCUGCUAUUAGUGCCACAGUUGGCAAGAAGUGCACUAUCAUCGCCAAGGUAGACCAGGAGACCUACGAUGCUGAUCCUCGGAUAGUGUUUCUUACCGUCUCGAAGGCCCAGCUAAUCAUUAACACGGUGCCUCAGAUCUUCUACCGACACUAGCCUUGCAAUAGCUGAUAAGACGAUCGCUCCAGCCGAUGACCUCGAAGGCACACAGGGCCACCUCCCAGAAGGCUCCAGCUCACAGACAACACCUCCGAACGAUAUAACUGGACCAGCCGAUGAUGACGAAGCAGAGGACAUGGGUAAGGCAAUCAAACAUAAGAAGUGGAAGAACACCAACGACAAGAAAUAAGGACCUGCCAAUGCAUUAUUCAAAGGGAAGAAGUAGCAUUAGCCUUGCCAGGCUGUCAUCACAGGACAAGGCUAGGACAAGCGCAUCGUCAAGGAAAUCAAGCAAGUAAACCAACCACCCAGCUGCAAAUAAAGCUUCUCAUCAACCUGCCAGCUUAUGCUAUUAGGCAGGCCCGGGCCCACAGGAGUGCGGCCCGUGCGGUCGCACAGGGCCCCAAAUUUUUAGGGGCCCAUAAUUUCCCAAUUUUCAAUAUAUAGAUUGUACUUCAGAUAGUACUAACGAAAUAGAUUUAGCUCAGUUGGUACUUGUCGGUGAGCCUUGCCUGCUAAUAAGUCUCAGGUUGCAAGAUCGACUCUUGCCAGGCGUGAUUUUACUUUGUAUUUUGUACUUUUUUUUUGCUACUCUGGCUGAUGCCUAUGAGGCAAAAUAUAGUUGAGAUUUCACUUUGUAUUUUGUAUUGUUUUUUUUGCUACUCUGGCUGAUGCCUAUGAGGCAAAAUAUAGUUGAUCGAGUCUAAACAUAUGAGAAAAAUACAAUGAGAUACCAUGAAUUCUCAGAUUGAAUUAAAUGAUUUAUCACUGCGGUUUUUAUUUAUAAAUUGUGAGGUAAGUUUGUUAUAA